AGAGUUUGAUCAUGGCUCAGGACGAACGCUGGCGGCGCGCCUCAUACAUGCAAGUCGAGCGUGAAGCGGGACUUCGGUCCCGUGGAAAGCGGCGAACGGGUGCGUAACACGUGAGCAACCUGCCCCAAAGACUGGGAUAACCCGGGGAAACCCGGGCUAAUACCGGAUGUCCUCCUCCGAUCGCAUGGUUGGAAGAGGAAAUGUUCAGGCGCUUUGGGAUGGGCUCGCGGUCUAUCAGCUUGUUGGUGGGGUAACGGCCUACCAAGGCGACGACGGAUAGCUGGUCUGAGAGGACGAUCAGCCACACUGGGACUGAGACACGGCCCAGACUCCUACGGGAGGCAGCAGUAGGGAAUCUUGCGCAAUGAGGGAAACCUUGACGCAGCGACGCCGCGUGCGGGAUGAAGGCCUUCGGGUUGUAAACCGCUUUCAGCAGGGACGAAAUUGACGGUACCUGCAGAAGAAGGCCCGGCCAACUACGUGCCAGCAGCCGCGGUAAUACGUAGGGGCCUAGCGUUGUCCGGAUUUAUUGGGCGUAAAGAGCUCGUAGGCGGUUCGGUAAGUCAGGUGUGAAAUCUCCACGCUCA
rnacentral:rRNA from 1 species